UGGGGAAUAUUGCACAAUGGGCGGAAGCCUGAUGCAGCGACGCCGCGUGAGGGAUGACGGCCUUCGGGUUGUAAACCUCUUUCAGUAGGGACGAAGCGUAAGUGACGGUACCUGCAGAAGAAGCACCGGCUAACUACAUGCCAGCAGCCGCGGUAAUACGUAGGGUGCGAGCGUUGUCCGGAAUUACUGGGCGUAAAGAGCUCGUAGGCGGUUUGUCACGUCGUCUGUGAAAUCCUAGGGCUUAACCCUGGACGUGCAGGCGAUACGGGCUGACUUGAGUACUACAGGGGAGACUGGAAUUUCUGGUGUAGCGGUGGAAUGCACAGAUAUCAGGAAGAACACCGAUGGCGAAGGCAGGUCUCUGGGUAGUAACUGACGCUGAGGAGCGAAAGCAUGGGUAGCGAACAGG
rnacentral:rRNA from 1 species